CCAGCCACACUGGAACUGAGACACGGUCCAGACUCCUACGGGAGGCAGCAGUGGGGAAUAUUGCACAAUGGGCGCAAGCCUGAUGCAGCCAUGCCGCGUGUAUGAAGAAGGCCUUCGGGUUGUAAAGUACUUUCAGCGAGGAGGAAGGCGUUAAGGUUAAUAACCU
rnacentral:rRNA from 1 species